AGAGUUUGAUCCUGGCUCAGGAUGAACGCUAGCGGCAGGCCUAACACAUGCAAGUCGAGGGGCAGCAGACCACUUCGGUGGUGCUGGCGACCGGCGCACGGAUGAGUAUCGCGUUUGUAACCUACCCUUAACUGGGGGAUAGCCCGAAGAAAUUCGGAUUAAUACCCCAUUAAAUUUUAGCACGGCAUCGUGCUUCCAUUAAAGCUCCGGCGGUUAAGGAUGGACAUGCGUGACAUUAGUUUGUUGGUGAGGUAACGGCUCACCAAGACUACGAUGUCUAGGGGGUCUGAGAGGAUGAUCCCCCACACUGGUACUGAGACACGGACCAGACUCCUACGGGAGGCAGCAGUGAGGAAUAUUGGGCAAUGGACGCAAGUCUGACCCAGCCAUGCCGAGUGCAGGAUGACGGCGCUAUGCGUUGUAAACUGCUUUUAUACAGGAAGAAAUCCUCCUACGUGUAGGGGGUUGACUGUACUGUAAGAAUAAGCAUCGGCUAACUCCGUGCCAGCAGCCGCGGUAAU
rnacentral:rRNA from 1 species